CGGUACGUGGCGCAGCUUGGUAGCGCACUUCGCUGGGGGUGAAGGGGUCGCAGGUUCGAAUCCUGCCGUACCGACCA
rnacentral:tRNA from 1 species